rnacentral:rRNA from 1 species
CAUCCUCCAAGGCUAAAUACUCCUGACUGACCGAUAGUGAACCAGUACCGUGAGGGAAAGGCGAAAAGAACCCCGGCGAGGGGAGUGAAAAAGAACCUGAAACCGUGUACGUACAAGCAGUGGGAGCCCCACCACCAAAGCAUUUGCUGUACCGCGUUGACGGAGCGAAGCGACGUCAAACCGAUAAAACAGCAGUGUAAAGUGAGCCGCAGGGCGCUUUGCGCGACAGCGCAAAGGCAGGCGGUUUCGCGUAGCGAAAGCGAAUGCUUUGGGGUGGGGUGACUGCGUACCUUUUGUAUAAUGGGUCAGCGACUUAUAUUCUGUAGCAAGGUUAACCGAAUAGGGGAGCCGGAGGGAAACCGAGUCUUAAUUGGGCGUUAAGUUGCAGGGUAUAGACCCGAAACCGGA